CCCCUUCCCCGACCUCAUUAAUGGAUCGGCAGUGGAAGGAGAGUUAUCGUGCUGGAGAUCUCUGCAUGCCUGAGGCCUUCUGAGGUGAGACAAUGAAUCCCAGAGCACAAGACCCUGUGUCAGUGAGUGAAGAAGCAGCCCGUGAUGUGUAAGCAAAGGGGCAAAGCAGCGUCUCACAGGGAAGAAAAUGAAGCUUUAGUUUUUGUUACUGAAGAAAACUGAAAGUUGCCUGAAGGACAAAAACUAGAAGCCUUGAUCCUGUGAUUCAUCCACCCACUGUGACUUUGAGAUUGGCUUUGUUCCACCUAGAUGCAACGACAGAGUCCUACUGAUUCCAUGGGAACCUUAGAAAUCAAAGAAAACUUGCUGUGGUAACCAGCAAAUUCAAUAACAGCAUCGAUUUCUCCAGCUGGACAAUUAAAGAGCAUAAAUGAGGGGUAGCUGAUUUCUGUCUCUGAAUUAAUGUAACAAACGAUCAUUGAUUUAAGUGAGAGGAAACUAUUCUCCAAAGAAAAGGGUCUUCCCUACUAAAACAUCCUACACCUUAUGUGUGCUGGUCUCCAACAUGUCUGGGUAAUGAAAGUGCUUUCACAGACAACCGGCUCACCACUG
rnacentral:lncRNA from 1 species